ACUGAACGCUGGCGGCAUGCCUUACACAUGCAAGUCGAACGGCAGCACGGGAGCAAUCCUGGUGGCAAGUGGCGAACGGGUGAGUAAUGUAUCGGAACGUGCCCAGUCGUGGGGGAUAACGUAGCGAAAGCUACGCUAAUACCGCAUACGAUCUGUGGAUGAAAGCGGGGGACCGUAAGGCCUCGCGCGAUUGGAGCGGCCGAUAUCAGAUUAGGUAGUUGGUGGGGUAAAGGCCUACCAAGCCGACGAUCUGUAGCUGGUCUGAGAGGACGACCAGCCACACUGGGACUGAGACACGGCCCAGACUCCUACGGGAGGCAGCAGUGGGGAAUUUUGGACAAUGGGCGCAAGCCUGAUCCAGCAAUGCCGCGUGCAGGAUGAAGGCCUUCGGGUUGUAAACUGCUUUUGUACGGAGCGAAAAGGCUCUCUCUAAUACAGGGGGCUCAUGACGGUACCGUAAGAAUAAGCACCGGCUAACUACGUGCCAGCCGCCGCGGUAA
rnacentral:rRNA from 1 species